rfam:Candidatus Berkelbacteria bacterium RIFCSPLOWO2_01_FTLL_50_28 rifcsplowo2_01_scaffold_16, whole genome shotgun sequence.
AAGUAAUUCACCAAAAGCACAUAGAGGAUGUCUUGGUAGAUUCAGCUGAUGAAGGACGUAGUAGGCUGCGAUAAGCGCCGGGGAGCUGCCAACAAGCUUUGAUCCGACGAUUUCCGAAUGGGGAAACCCAACGUCGUGAACCGACGUUACCGUGUCUCACUUUCGUUCGACACUGGUUAAUUAUCAAUUCACAAUUUUGCAAUUUUCAAUAAAAUCUCAAUGAAUUAAUUUUCAAACAUUGAGACAUUGGAAAUUCACUGAAAAUUGAAACUUGAAAAUUAGAAGUUGUGGCGAGCGGUAGAGAGACACGGAAGGCACCCGGGGAACUGAAACAUCUUAGUACCCGGAGGAAAAUAAAGUAGUAACGAUUCCCCCAGUAGCGGCGAGCGAAAAGGGACCAGCCCAAACUUGUCUAUCACAUCUUGGGCGUAAGUGUGUAAACAGGCGAUCCUUUACCAUAAACGGGUCUAGCCUCAAUAAAUUUGUUUGCGCUUGCGUCCGGGAUGUGAUGGGCAAGGGUUAUAGGGUAGCAUCAGACAUUAGUCGAGCGAUUGUAAUUGAAUUAGUCUAAGGACCUUGGAAAAGGCCACCGUAGAGGGUGAUAGUCCCGUCGACGAAAAUUCAACCACGCUUGGAUGCUUCUCCUGAGUACGACUAGACACGUGAAAUCUAGUCGGAAGGUCGGGUGAUCGUGCCCGAAGGCUAAAUACUGAAUCUGACCGAUAGUGAACAAGUACCGUGAGGGAAAGAUGAAAAGUACCCUGAGUAAGGGAGUGAAAUAGUACCUGAAACUAUGUGCUUACAAGGAGUCGGAGCCGCCACACCUAAUUUUUCGAGGUCUUUAAGAAUACAAAUGUGAGAGUCGCUAGACGGCUAGCGCCUUUGACAUUUUGUUACAAAGAUUUGUCGCUGAAUUAGGUGUGGCGGUGACGGCGUGCCUAUUGAAGAAUGAGCCAACGAGUUAGUCCUCAAUUCCAAGUCUAAGGGCCUUUGGCCUGGAGGCGUAGCGAAAGCGAGUGUUAAUAGCGCGUCAUAGGAGUUGGGGCUAGACCCGAAACCGAGUGAUCUUGCCAUGAGCAGGCUGAACCCUAGGGAAACCUAGUGGGGAGGGCCGAACCCGUUAAUGUAACAAAAUUAUGGGAUGACUUGUGGUAAGCGGUAAAAUACCAAUCGAACUCGGAGAUAGCUGGUUCUCCUCGAAAUACGUAUAGGCGUAGCGCGAAUCUGCAUGGUGUGGGGUAGAGCACUGAAAAGUGUCUUGGGGACGCAAGUUCUCAACACUUAACAAACUCCGAAUACGCACCGUUAGGGAUUCGCAGUCAGACUGUGCGGGCUAAGCUGCAUGGUCAAAAGGGAAAAAGCCCAGACCUACAUCUAAGGUCCCUAAAUUCUAGCUAAGUGGAAAACGAAGUGGAAAGGCGUAGACAACUAGGAUGUUGGCUUAGAAGCAGCCAUCAUUUAAAGAAAGCGUAACAGCUCACUAGUCGACCCUACGUUGUUCUACAACGGUUUGGCGAAAGCCGAACUCGCGUAGUCAACCUCUAGGCCUUUUUGCGCGGAAAAUGUAACGGGGCUCAAGCUAGGUACCGAAGAUUAGGAUUGCCAGUGCCUUGCACUGGAAUUAUCAAUUUUCAGUUUUCAGUUCUCAAUGAAUGAUCAAUGAAUCAAUUUUCAAGUUUGGAAAUUGUGAAAUUGGAAAUUUAUUAGAAAUUAGAAAUUGUUAAUUUGAAAUUCCGGCGCAGGGCGCCGGUGAUGGUAGAGGAGCGUUCGUAUUGGGGUGAAGCGGGAGUGUAAACGACCGUGGACUGAUACGAAGUGCGAAUGUUGGCAUGAGUAACGAAAACCAGGUGAGAACCCUGGUCGCCGCAAGUCUAAGGUUUCCACAGCAACGCCAAUCGUCUGUGGGUUAGUCGGAUCUAAGGGUGAAGAACCCGAUGUUCAGACGGUUAAUAUUCCGUCACUACUGACAAACUACCCUGUGAUGACACGGGCCCGUGGUCAAAUGCGAUUAUUGGAUUUCGUCAUUUGGCUCAAAGCCUGGCAAGAAAAAUCACAGAGUUAACUAUUUUGAGCGUCACGUGCGCAAGCACUGAUGCGAAAAAAGGAGUGAACACAACUAUUGUUAGUAUCCGUACCGCAAACCGACACAGGUAGACGAGACGAGUAGUCUCAGGUGGUCGAGAUAACCCUCUUUAAGGAACUCGGCAAAGAAUCGGGCGUAACUUAGGGAUAUGCCCUGCCCCUCAAUGCUUCGCAUUGGAGUUUUCAAGUCUCAAUUAUCAAUUUUCAAUCAAUUCUCAAUGAACAAAUUUUCAAAGGUUUGGGCAUUGAACAAUUGUAAAUUCACUGGAAAUUGCAAAAUUAGAAAUUGGAAAUUCCGCUGCGAAGCAGCGGGGGGCCGCAGCGAAAGAAACCAAGCGACUGUUUAACAAAAACUUAGCUCUCUGCUAACCCAUUGUGGGAUGUAUAGGGGGUGAUGCCUGCCCAGUGCUCGUAGGUUACGGGGACGGCUGACCCUAGCACCUUGCGUACAAGGUGCAAUUAUCAAUUCUCAAUUAUCAAUUCUCAAUGAAUUAUCAAUGAUUCAAUUCUCAAUCUCAAAGUUUGAAAAUUGGAAACUGAAAAUUUACUGAAAACUGAAAACUGAAAAUUCGAAAAUUGCAGCACUUUGUACUCAAAGUGCUGGGGAAGGCUGGAACUUAAGCCCGAGUGAACGGCAGCGGUAACUAUAACCGUUCUAUGGUAGCGAAAUUCCUCGUCAGGUAAAUUCUGACCCGCACGAACGGCAUAACGACUUGGUAACUGUCUCAAAGAGGGACUCGGUGAAAUUGCACUGCCGGUGAAGAUGCCGGUUACUUGCAGCAAGACGGAAAGACCCCGUGGAGCUUUACUACAAUUUGAUAUUGAAUCAGGGUUUGUGAUGUGUAGCGUAGGUGGGAGACUUCGGUCGUCAAUGAAACACCACCCUUCGUUCAUUUUGAUUCUAACUGGUGAAAACUAAGACAGUGUCAGAUGGGUAGUUUGACUGGGGCGGUCGCCUCCGAAAGAGUAACGGAGGCGUACAAAGGUUAGCUAGGUACGGAUGGAAAUCGUACCGAUAGUGUAAACGCAUAAGCUAGCUUGACUGUGAGGCCUACAAGCCGAGCAGGUGCGAAAGCAGGUGUUAGUGAUCCAGCCGGUACGGAACGAGAUGGCCGGCGCUCAACGGAUAAAAGCUACCCCGGGGAUAACAGGCUUAUUGCGCCCAAUCGACCACUGAGACGGCGCAGUUUGGCACCUCGAUGUCGGCUCACCCUAUCCUGGAGGUGAAGAAGCUUCCAAGGGUUUGGCUGUUCGCCAAUUAAAAGGGUACGCGAGCUGGGUUCAGAACGUAGUUAACGUUGCGUUCCGCGGCAGUAAUGCCGUAUAGUGAAAUUGACUAAAAUCGGUGAAACCUUCAUCUAAAUACCGAACGUUAGGAAAGGUAAUACCGAGGGUAAGUCAGAAGAAUGACAAGUGAGAAACUGGCAUAUAUUGCGGGGUUCUUGGACGGAGAUGGUUGCGUUAUGCUCCAAUUAGUUUUCCGACACGAUUACGUGUUCGGCUAUCAAAUUAGAGCAAGCAUUGUUUUCUACCAAAAAACCAAGCAUCGACAGUUUCUUGAGUGGCUAAAACAUGAAUUAGAGUAUGGAUAUAUCCGUGACCGUAAAGACGGCAUGACCGAGUACACAAUUGUCGGACCAAAACCGGUAAUGGAGCUUCUCGGCCGAUUGAGACCGUAUCUGCGGCUUAAAAAGAAGCACGCUGCUCUGGCGAUUGAUAUCAUAUCGAAAUUACCAGGUGGGCGAGCAAUAACUCCCAAAAUUCUUGUUAAACUAGCCAAGAAAGUUGACGGGUUCGUUGAAUUGAAUUACUCAAAAAAACGAACAAACACUUCGAAAGAGGUAAUAGAUUUUCUUGUCAGCAAAAAUCUUCUGAAUCCCGUAGAGACUGAUCCCUAGGCUUGGCUAGUUACCAAGCGUAAGGUGAGAACGGCCCAGUGGCUGUUCAAACGUCAACCCCUUAACUAGUAAAACUUCGGUUGAGGGUGAAGAUAUAGUCCGUGCCAUUAGAAAUAAUGGAAUUGCAUGCGCGAGACAGUUCGGUCCUAAUCUGCUGUAAGCGUUGAAGAUUGAGGGGGGCGGCUCCUAGUAUGAGAAGACCGGAGCGGACGAUCCGCUGGUGUAUCGGCUGUCCUGCCAAGGGCACUGUCGAGUAGCUACGAUCGGAACUGAUAACCGCUGAAAGCAUAUAAGCGGGAAGCAGGCCCCAAGAUUAAUCUUCGUUAUAGACCCGUUGUAGACCACAACGUUGAUAGGCGCUAGGUGUAAGGCCCGUAAGGGUUUCAGCCGAGGCGUACUAAUAGGUCGAGAAUUACUUAA